rnacentral:rRNA from 1 species
GAUGAACGCUGGCGGCGUGCCUAAUACAUGCAAGUCGAGCGAACAGAUGAGGAGCUUGCUCCUCUGACGUUAGCGGCGGACGGGUGAGUAACACGUGGAUAACCUACCUAUAAGACUGGGAUAACUUCGGGAAACCGGAGCUAAUACCGGAUAAUAUAUUGAACCGCAUGGUUCAAUAGUGAAAGACGGUUUUGCUGUCACUUAUAGAUGGAUCCGCGCCGCAUUAGCUAGUUGGUAAGGUAACGGCUUACCAAGGCAACGAUGCGUAGCCGACCUGAGAGGGGGAUCGGCCACACUGGAACUGAGACACGGUCCAGACUCCUACGGGAGGCAGCAGUAGGGAAUCUUCCGCAAUGGGCGAAAGCCUGACGGAGCAACGCCGCGUGAGUGAUGAAGGUCUUCGGAUCGUAAAACUCUGUUAUUAGGAAAGAACAAAUGUGUAAGUAACUAUGCACGUCUUGACGGUACCUAAUCAGAAAGCCACGGCUAACUACGUG